rnacentral:rRNA from 1 species
UACGAAGGGGGCGAGCGUUGUUCGGAUUUACUGGGCGUAAAGAGCGUGUAGGCGGCCAGGUAGGUCGGUUGUGAAAACUGGAGGCUCAACCUUCAGACGUCGACCGAAACCAUCUGGCUAGAGUCCGGGAGAGGAGAGUGGAAUUCCUGGUGUAGCGGUGAAAUGCGCAGAUAUCAGGAAGAACACCCGUGGCGAAAGCGGCUCUCUGGAACGGUACUGACGCUGAGACGCGAAAGCGUGGGGAGCGAACAGG